GCUGGCAGCUAGCUCUCUGCAACUCUUGCAUUGUUUUCCUCCUGAAGCUAAGCAGGGCUGCGCCCGGUCAUUACCUGGAUGGGAGACCACAUGGGAAAGCUAGGUUGCUGCCGGAA
ensembl:rRNA 5S_rRNA 5S ribosomal RNA